GGGGCUCGUGAUAUCUCAUCUCGCCGCCCGUCGCGAGGCGGACGGAGGGGAUGGAUGAGGUUUACCUGGAAAAAAUCGGGGCGAUCUAGGCGGGCGAACCUCGCCAACGAACGAUCGGACAUGGGAUAACGGAAGAGGGCGUCGGUUCGACUUCGUCGGUUCCUCGGGCCGAGGCACGUACGGUGAAUAGGGACGGUCGGGGCCGCCCGUACCGGGUCGUGAGAGGUGAAAUUCUAGGAUCGACCCGAGACGAACCGCCGCGAAAGCAUUCGGCAAGGACGCUUUUCAUUAAUCAAGAACGAAAGUCGGGGGAUCGAAGACGAUCAGAUACCGUCGUAGUCCCGACCGUAAACGAUGCCGACCGAGGGCCCGGAGGAGUUACGUACGACCCUCCGGGCCCUCCCGCGAGAAAUCAGGAGUAUUCGGGUUCCGGGGGGAGUAUGGUCGCAAGGCCGAAACUUAAAGGAAUUGACGGAAGGGCACCACCAGGAGUGGG
rnacentral:rRNA from 1 species